rnacentral:rRNA from 1 species
AUGAGUCCUAUCAAAGGCCACGACUCAAAUGAUGAAGAAGUCGUUGGCAUCAUGAAGAAUCUUCUUUUCAACAUCAUUCGUGGUGUUCCCGUCAACUUUCAUGAUUUCUUCAUGAGGACUCUGGCCAAUAUAACUAUGUCACCAUUUGAGCUGAAGCCUUAUGCGCCGUGGAUUAUGAGAUUCAUCAGGACAAGGUCUUCACUCAACUACAAAGCUGACACUCUGAACCACUGCAGCUACUUGCCUCCAAUUAAAGUCCUCAAACGGACAUUUUCCUCAGCUGAUGACAAAGGCAAGGCAGCUGCUGUGAUAGAUGAAGGCAUUCGUCUAUUGGAUGGUCAAUUUCGCAAGGAUGUAUCCUAUUCCACCAAUGAUGACUCUGCCACUCAUGACUCUGCCGCCAACAACACCAAGCAAAAUCUUCAAGCCACAAUACCCAGGGUGAUGACUGAUCGUGAGUUACUCCUCAGUCUUCAUCAGAAGGUUGAUCGCAAUCAUAAAUGGGUCAAGCGUCAGUUUAGUUCAAUUCUUCACAACAUGACCUCCACACACAAUACAGUGAAGAAAAACCACUACUAUCUCCAUGAAACCUUCAACCGUACCUGGGCUGUUCUCUCUCAUGUCUACAGCGCUAAAGAUCUGAAGAAAAUGAGUCUCAAGGAAGAAUUUGACUGGUCUGCACCUCCUCCGAAGAAAUACAAGAAGGUCAAGGUUCCUUCUUUGGUGGCCAGCUCCUAUUCUUCAUCGCGUGACACUGAUGAACAUGAAGACUUGGACGACACAGCGGCAGGCCCUACUACAACAAUCGACCCCAACAACGCUGGCGCUCCUUCAUCAACUUGA